UCGAGCAGAACACGAAAUAUGACCAUGUUAUGGCUCUCCGCCGUCGUCUCUCUUCUCCUCUCUGUCGUCGCUGCAUGCCGCCGGCGCCGGCGCCGGCGCCUCCUCCCUCUCCGUUCGGCGCUACGACGCCAUCUUCAGCUUCGGCGACUCCUUCGCCGACACGGGCAACAACCCCGUCGUCUUCGGCUGGUACUCCGUCUUCGACCCCGUCACCCGCCCUCCGUACGGCUCCACCUUCUUCGGCCACCCCACCGGCCGCAACUGCGACGGCCGCCUCGUCGUCGACUUCGUCGCCGAACGCCUGGGGGUGCCGCUCUUGCCGCCAUUCUUGGCUUACAACGGGAGCUUCCGCCGCGGCGCAAACUUCGCCGUUGGCGCCGCCACCGCCCUCGACUCCAGCAUCUUCCACGCCGGCGAUCCUCCUCCGGGCGCCAGCCCGUUCCCGGUCAACACCAGCCUCGGCGUUCAGCUGGGCUGGUUCGAGUCGCUCAAGCCUUCGCUCUGCAGCACAACACAAGAAUGCAAGGAUUUCUUCGGGAGAUCCCUCUUCUUCGUCGGCGAAUUCGGAUUCAACGAUUACGAGUUCUUCUUCAGGAAGAAGAGCAUGGAAGAGAUCAGAUCGUUCGUCCCAUAUAUCAUCGAAACCAUCUCCAUAGCCAUCGAGAGGCUGAUCAAGCACGGGGCGAAGAGUUUGGUCGUUCCAGGCAUGACACCGUCAGGUUGCACGCCGCUAAUUCUCGCCAUGUUUGCUGAUCAAGCUGGCCCAGAUGACUACGACCCGGUCACCGGCUGCCUGAAGGUGCAGAACGAGCUAGCUAUUCUUCACAACUCGCUGCUGCAACAAUCCCUUCGGAAUCUCCAGGCCAGGCACCCGGAUGCCAGCAUCAUCUACGCCGAUUUCUUCAGCCCCAUCAUGGAGAUGGUGCAGUCACCUGGCAAGUUUGGGUUUGAAGAUGAUGUUCUUACCAUUUGUUGUGGAGGGCCUGGGACUGCUCUCUGUGGCAAUCAGGGCGCGAUCACUUGCGAGGAUCCUUCUGCUCGUCUCUUCUGGGACAUGGUUCACAUGACGGAGGUGGCUUACCGCUACAUCGCGGAGGAUUGGCUGCGCAUCAGAGUCACCUGGGAACAAAAUAAUUUGAGUGUUUUCAGAGUCCAUAAGAAGAUAUAUACAGAGAGCACCAAAUUUUCAGUGUUAAUUUGAGGUACCUCUCAGUACUUCAUAAUAAUCUUGAUGUCUCCUCUCCUGAUGUCCUCUUAACAACUGUAGAAAAGCUCAAACAAUUUAGGAUCUGAUCCGAACUACACAAGACCACGGCUACCCAGGAGAUCCAGGAUCAACAUCCUUUGUUCAA